GGGGGACGCGUUCACAGGAUCGCGAUCCGCGCGUGCGACGGGCCGGAUCGUUAAGAGUCACCGUCCGCUGGCGCGGCGUCUUCCCUGCCCCUCGGGUAGCGCAGCGUGAGAACCAAAGAGCGGGAUACGUACGUAGAUCCUGAAGUCUAGGACUUGCGGACGGGGGUUCGAUUCCCCCCGCCUCCACCA
rnacentral:tmRNA from 1 species